CCUACGGGUGGCAGCAGUGAGGAAUAUUGGUCAAUGGCCGUAAGGCUGAACCAGCCAAGUAGCGUGAGGGAAGACUGCCCUAUGGGUUGUAAACCUCUUUUAUGCGGGGAUAAAGGUGUCCACGUGUGGAUGUUUGCAGGUACCGCAUGAAUAAGGACCGGCUAAUUCCGUGCCAGCAGCCGCGGUAAUACGGAAGGUCCGGGCGUUAUCCGGAUUUAUUGGGUUUAAAGGGAGCGUAGGCCGGUCUUUAAGCGUGCCGUGAAAUUUUGUGGCUCAACCAUGAGAGUGCGGCGCGAACUGGAGACCGUGAGUGCGCGGAAGGCAGGCGGAAUUCGUGGUGUAGCGGUGAAAUGCUUAGAUAUCACGAAGAACCCCGAUUGCGAAGGCAGCCUGCCGCAGCGUUACUGACGCUGAAGCUCGAAAGCGCGGGGAUCGAACAGGAUUAGAUACCCAAGUAGUC
rnacentral:rRNA from 1 species